GACGAACGCUGGCGGCGUGCUUAACACAUGCAAGUCGAACGGAAAGGCCCUGCUUUGGUUGGGUGCUCGAGUGGUGAACGGGUGAGAAACACGUGAGUAACCUGCCCUUGACUUUGGGAUAACUUCAGGAAACUGGGGCUAAUACCGGAUAGGAGCUCCUGCUGCAUGGGGGGGGUUGGAAAGUUUCGGCGGUUGGGGAUGGACUUGGGGCUUAUCAGCUUGUUGGUGGGGUAGUGGCUUACGAAGGCUUCGACGGGUAGCCGGCCUGGGAGGGGGGCCGGGGACAUUGGGCCUGCGAUACGGCCCAGACUCCUACGGGAGGCAGCAGUGGGGAAUAUUGCAUAGUGGGCGGAAGCCUGAUGCAGCAACGCCGCGUGCGGGAUGACGGCCUUCGGGUGGUAAACCGCUUUCGCCUGUGACGAAGCGUGAGUGACGGUAAUGGGUAAAGAAGCACCGGCUAACUACGUG
rnacentral:rRNA from 1 species